rnacentral:lncRNA from 1 species
UUGUUUUUUGCCAUUUUUUGCUACUGAUUUUUUUUUUUUAGUUUGAUCGGUUUCUCUAUUGCGUCCUUGUCAAUUUUUCCGGUGGGUGUUGGGUGUUAAUGGGUUUUGAUCGUCUUUGAUUCACUAGUUUCUGCGGUGGUAGGGGGUGGACGAUUGGUGCUGGUUCUUUUUAGUAGAAUCUCCCCUCCAUUGGGUUGGUUGGACUUCUGGGUUUGGAUUUAGUAAGCUUGAUUUUGGUUUUUGGCUGUUUAUUGAUUUUUUUACCUUGUUAGACUUAUUUGUUCUAUUGUCCUUUUGGAUUCCCACAACAAAUGAGAUUACAU